AGCGAACGUUAGCGGCGGGCCUAACACAUGCAAGUCGAACGAGAAUAGGGGAGCAAUCCCCUUAGUAAAGUGGCGGACGGGUGCGUAACACGUGGGUGAUCUACCUUCCGGCGGGGGACAACAGUCCGAAAGGAUUGCUAAUACCGCGUACGUCAGCGAGGUCUCCGGACCUUGCUGGGAAAGAUGGCCUCUCUUUAGAAGCUGUCACCGGAAGAUGAGCCCGCGGCCCAUCAGCUAGUUGGGAGGUAACGGCUCACCAAGGCUAAGACGGGUAGCUGGUCUGAGAGGAUGAUCAGCCACACUGGGACUGCGACACGGCCCAGACUCCUACGGGAGGCAGCA
rnacentral:rRNA from 1 species